UACGUAGGGGGCUAGCGUUGUCCGGAAUCAUUGGGCGUAAAGCGCGUGUAGGCGGUCCGGUAAGUCCGCUGUGAAAGUCGGGGGCUCAACCCUCGAAUGCCGGUGGAAACUGUCGGGCUAGAGUCCGGAAGAGGAGAGUGGAAUUCCUGGUGUAGCGGUGAAAUGCGCAGAUAUCAGGAAGAACACCCGUGGCUAAGGCGGCUCUCUAGUACGGUACUGACGCUGAGACGCGAAAGCGUGGGGAGCGAACAGG
rnacentral:rRNA from 1 species